rnacentral:rRNA from 1 species
GCAAGUCGAGCGCGCCCUUCGGGGUGAGCGGCGGACGGGUGAGUAACGCGUGGGGACGUGCCCUUUGCUGCGGAAUAGCCACUGGAAACGGUGAGUAAUACCGCAUGAGCCCUUCGGGGGAAAGAUUUAUCGGCAAAGGAUCGGCCCGCGUUGGAUUAGGUAGUUGGUGGGGUAAUGGCCUACCAAGCCGACGAUCCAUAGCUGGUUUUAGAGGAUGAUCAGCCACACUGGGACUGAGACACGGCCCAGACUCCUACGGGAGGCAGCAGUGGGGAAUCUUAGACAAUGGGCGCAAGCCUGAUCUAGCCAUGCCGCGUGAGUGACGAAGGCCCUAGGGUCGUAAAGCUCUUUCGCCUGUGAUGAUAAUGACAGUAGCAGGUAAAGAAACCCCGGCUAACUCCGUGCCAGCAGCCGCGGUAAUACGGAGGGGGUUAGCGUUGUUCGGAAUUACUGGGCGUAAAGCGCGCGUAGGCGGAUUGGAAAGUUGGGGGUGAAAUCCCGGGGCUCAACCCCGGAACUGCCUCCAAAACUUCCAGUCUGGAGUUCGAGAGAGGUGAGUGGAAUUCCGAGUGUAGAGGUGAAAUUCGUAGAUAUUCGGAGGAACACCAGUGGCGAAGGCGGCUCACUGGCUCGAUACUGACGCUGAGGUGCGAAAGUGUGGGGAGCAAACGGGAUUAGAUACCCUGGUAGUCCACACCGUAAACGAUGAAUGCCAGUCGUCGGCAAGCAUGCUUGUCGGUGACACACCUAACGGAUUAAGCAUUCCGCCUGGGGAGUACGGCCGCAAGGUUACAACUCAAAUGAAUUGACGGAA